rnacentral:rRNA from 1 species
AGAGUUUGAUCAUGGCUCAGGAUGAACGCUGGNCGGUAUGCCUAACACAUGCAAGUCGAACGGGUGUCCUUCGGGACAUUAGUGGCGGACGGGUGAGUAACGCGUGAGAAUCUGCCUUCAGGAUGGGGACAACAAUUGGAAACGAUUGCUAAUACCCGAUAUGACGAAAGUUGAAAGAUUUAUCGCCUGGAGAUGAGCUCGCGUCAGAUUAGCUAGAUGGUGUGGUAACGGCGCACCAUGGCGACGAUCUGUAGCUGGUCUGAGAGGAUGAGCAGCCACACUGGGACUGAGACACGGCCCAGACUCCUACGGGAGGCAGCAGUGGGGAAUUUUCCGCAAUGGGCGCAAGCCUGACGGAGCAAUACCGCGUGAGGGAGGAAGGCUCUUGGGUCGUAAACCUCUUUUCUCAGGGAAGAACACAAUGACGGUACCUGAGGAAUCAGCAUCGGCUAACUCCGUGCCAGCAGCCGCGGUAAUACGGAGGAUGCAAGCGUUAUCCGGAAUGAUUGGGCGUAAAGCGUCCGUAGGUGGUUCUGUAAGUCUGUGGUUAAAGCGUGGGGCUCAACCCCAUAACGGCCAUGGAAACUACAAGACUUGAGUAAAGUAGGGGUAGAGGGAAUUCCCAGUGUAGCGGUGAAAUGCGUAGAGAUUGGGAAGAACACCGGUGGCGAAAGCGCUCUACUGGACUUAAACUGACACUGAGGGACGAAAGCUAGGGGAGCGAAAGGGAUUAGAUACCCCUGUAGUCCUAGCCGUAAACGAUGACAACUAGGUGUUGCCCGUAUCGACCCGGGCAGUGCCGUAGCUAACCGCGUUAAGUUCCCCGCCUGG